UACAGAGGUCCCAAGCGUUGUUCGGAUUCAUUGGGCGUAAAGGGUGCGUAGGCGGCGCGGUAAGUCGGGGGUGAAAUCUCGGAGCUUAACUCCGAAACUGCAUUCGAUACUGCCGUGCUUGAGGACUGGAGAGGAGACUGGAAUUUACGGUGUAGCGGUGAAAUGCGUAGAUAUCGUAAGGAAGACCAGUGGCGAAGGCGGGUCUCUGGACAGUUCCUGACGCUGAGGCGCGAAGGCCAGGGGAGCAAACGGG
rnacentral:rRNA from 1 species